UACAGAGGGGGCAAGCGUUGUUCGGAAUUACUGGGCGUAAAGGGCGCGUAGGCGGUCGUGACAAGUCACUUGUGAAAUCUCCGGGCUUAACUCGGAACGGUCAAGUGAUACUGUCGGACUAGAGUACAGAAGGGGCAACUGGAAUUCUCGGUGUAGCGGUAGAAAUGCGUAGAUAUCGAGAGGAACACCUGCGGCGAAGGCGGGUUGCUGGGCUGAUACUGACGCUGAGGCGCGAAAGCCCAGGGGAGCAAACGGG
rnacentral:rRNA from 1 species